GUCAUUGUCAGUCACAUGACUAAUCCAGCACCUACUCCGCAAGGACUACAAUCUCGCUUCUCCCAUUCAGAAGAUAAAGGUACAACCAUCAACCUGCGAGAAGCCAAAAGACUCAACUUAAAAACAAAAACAAGCCAGGUUCAACAUUCCAAACACACAAUGCAUUCAUACAAUGGAGCUCUCUUGCUGCUAAAGAACCACUUCAAGAUGUCCGAAGGUUUAUUCGGGGAUGUAAGGAAUGUACCAUCUCCUACCUCCUGCCCUGGUCACACCUGAGAGUUGAUUUCAUCACAGAUCCGCCUCUAAAACUUUUUGACUCAAGGACAAUAUCACGGUUUACACAUUAAGUAAGGGGCUGUGCAUACUAUGUUUAUUACAAGUUAGGCUUUGAUUUUGUAAAAAUUCUAAAUUGACACUUAAUACUGUACUGUAUGUAUAGCUUCUUGUACCUACAGUUAUAUUCUUGUACUAUCACUACCUAUUUACUACCACUUUUUUUAUGAAACACAGAUAAGUUGCAUCAGCGUACAAAUCAAAUGAUGUAUAAAGCAUAUUUGUAUCAUUUCAUUUAGAAAAAAAAAUAAUAAUAAAAUGUUUACAAACAUUA